AUUGAACGCUGGCGGCAUGCCUUACACAUGCAAGUCGAACGGCAGCACGGGUGCUUGCACCUGGUGGCGAGUGGCGAACGGGUGAGUAAUACAUCGGAACGUACCUUAUCGUGGGGGAUAACGCAGCGAAAGUUGCGCUAAUACCGCAUACGCCCUGAGGGGGAAAGCGGGGGACCGUAAGGCCUCGCGCGAUUAGAGCGGCCGAUGUCUGAUUAGCUUGUUGGUGAGGUAAAAGCUCACCAAGGCGAUGAUCAGUAGCUGGUCUGGGAGGACGAUCAGCCACACUGGAACUGAGACACGGCCCAGACUCCUACGGGAGGAAGCAGUGGGGAAUUUUGGACAAUGGGGGCAACCUUGAUCCAGCAAUGCCGCGUGAGUGAAGAAGGCCUUCGGGUUGUAAAGCUCUUUUGUCAGGGAAGAAACAGCAGCUCUAACACAGUCUGCGAAUGACGGUACCUGAAGAAUAAGCACCGGCUAACUACGUGCCAGCCGCCGCCGUAA
rnacentral:rRNA from 1 species